rnacentral:rRNA from 1 species
UACGUAGGGGGCAAGCGUUGUUCGGAAUUACUGGGCGUAAAGGGCGCGUAGGCGGCCUGCUAAGUCGAACGUGAAAUCCCCGAGCUCAACUCGGGAACUGCGUCCGAUACUGGCAGGCUUGAAUCCGGGAGAGGGAUGCGGAAUUCCAGGUGUAGCGGUGAAAUGCGUAGAUAUCAGGAGGAACACCGGUGGCGAAGGCGGCUCUCUGGUCCACAACUGACGCUGAGGUGCGAAAGCUAGGGGAGCAAACGGG